rnacentral:rRNA from 1 species
UACGGGGGGGGGCAAGCGUUGUUCGGAAUUACUGGGCGUAAAGGGCUCGUAGGCGGCCAACUAAGUCAGACGUGAAAUCCCUCGGCUUAACCGGGGAACUGCGUCUGAUACUGGAUGGCUUGAGUUUGGGAGAGGGAUGCGGAAUUCCAGGUGUAGCGGUGAAAUGCGUAGAUAUCUGGAGGAACACCGAUGGCGAAGGCAGCUCGCUGGGACGGUACUGACGCUGAGGCGCGAAAGCGUGGGGAGCGAACAGG